UACGUAGGGUGCAAGCGUUAAUCGGAAUUACUGGGCGUAAAGCGAGCGCAGGCGGUCGUGUAAGACAGAUGUGAAAUCCCCGGGCUCAACCUGGGAACUGCAUUUGUGACUGCACGGCUAGAGUGCGUCAGAGGGGGGUGGAACUCCACGUGUAGCAGUGAAAUGCGUAGAGAUGUGGAAGAACACCGAUGGCGAAGGCAGCCCCCUGGGUCAAGAUUGACGCUCAUGCACGAAAGCGUGGGGAGCAAACAGG
rnacentral:rRNA from 1 species